rnacentral:rRNA from 1 species
UGCGUAACACGUAUGCAACUUACCCCAAACUGGAGAAUAGCCUUUAGAAAUGAAGAUUAAUACUCCAUAGUAUUACGAAGUGGCAUCACUUUGUUCUUAAAACUUCGGUGGUUUGGGAUAGGCAUGCGUCCUAUUAGUUAGUUGGUGAGGUAAUGGCUCACCAAGACUUCGAUAGGUAGGGGGCCUGAGAGGGUUAUCCCCCACACUGGUACUGAGACACGGACCAGACUCC